rnacentral:rRNA from 1 species
UACAGAGGGGGCAAGCGUUAUUCGGAAUUAUUGGGCGUAAAGGGCGCGUAGGCGGCUUGGCAAGUGGAUGGUGAAAUCCCUCGGCUUAACCGAGGAACUGCCGUCCAAACUGCUUUGCUUGAGGCCGGGAGAGGUGAGUGGAAUUCCCAGUGUAGCGGUGAAAUGACGUAGAUAUUGGGAGGAACACCAGUGGCGAAGGCGGCUCACUGGACCGGUACUGACGCUGAUGCGCGAAAGCGUGGGGAGCGAACAGG